UUCUUUCCUCUUUUAUAGUGCAUCCAAAAUUACAAUAGAUGCAUGGAGAAGACUAUACCUCAGGCAUCUAAUCAAAAAGAACAAAUGGCAGAAAUCUGCAAAAUUCCAGAACUUUUGGAAAAGACAUACGACUGUAUCAUAGUUGAAUCAGAAGCAAGUGAGCUAACCGAAGAAGAAAUGGAAAGCUUGACGGCAUACGUCGACUGUACCCAAGUUGUGUACAAGAAUCAUUACAAAGAAUAAUUAUAUAUUAUAACAUCAAGCAAGCUUUCUUUCCAAGAGCAGCAUACCUUGAUUUUAAUGCAGAGUAUUUGUAGUUUAAUUCUGAAAUGUUAAUAAAAUAUAUUUUAAGAAGCAUGUGUCUUCUUAUUUUAUGCUUACAAAAUACACUACUUUGUGAAAUUUUUAGAAUUAUAUAAAUAAUGUAUGUCACUUAAAUGUGAUGACAGAAAUUUAUAGAUUAAAUUUUAAAUUCGCUAUAACACUAUUUUCAUCUGAACAACGACUGAGGGUUUAGAACCUCGAAACACAGAGUUCACGUAAUGCUAUAUUCCCGACGGAACAAGGAACUCAGUCGGGAAUGCUAUAUUCCCGACUGAGAUUUUCAAAUUUUUUCUCGUGUGUUAAGUGAAUUCAGGAUAGUUUUCUCUACAAGGUUCUCCACAGAUGCAUAAUCCUCCAUAGACAGAUUAAUUUGGAGUGCUUUGGCCUAGUCAAAUAACCAAAUCUGGUAAAACCUUUUGGAAUACAUUGUGUGUAAUUUCUCCGCUAGAUAGCUGUUAUAUAAAACAAAAACAGCUCUUACAGAACAAAGAAUAAAAAUCUAGAAAUGUAGUCUAUAUUCGUGGAGAAAUUCAUUUUUAAAUAUCCCCGAACAGUCAUUGGAUUUUUAAAAUCAUACGUAAUUUAAUACUUCAGUGCUUGAAUUCAUUAUUUCUCACCCUCUUGAUUUCGGUUCUUUAGCUAAGCUAAUGUUGAAUGAUUGGUAGCCAAAUUAUGCUUUCUACUCAUGUUUCUCAUGCUAUAAAAUAUGCUUUGUUUAUCAUAUUGUUACACUGUGUACCAUAUUUAAAUACAGUUUUUACCGAACCGUAAUUCAUUAAUUAACAUUUCUAUUUAAAUAUGCCUUUCCUACCAUUUUUGUGCAUAACAGUGUAAUUAAAAGCAAAUAAUUUCCUACCUUCGAGUAAUUUUUUUAGAAUACUCCAGAAAAAAAGUCAUCUUUAAAAAUAACUGAUAUCCAUUUUUGGUCACUCCUUUUCAGGGAACGCAAAUCAUACAAAGCAACAACUGGAGUUUAUAUGGUACUUUAGAAAUAUUUGUAACAUCUGAGAUUAUGUGUUUUAGUUUUCAAAAAGUAUAUGGUUUUUAUCUUCAUUUCAAAUAUUUCCUUUUUAGAGCUCUAAAUUAACCUAAAUAUCCUAAGUUUAGUAAGAUAUUCUAAUUCUGAGAAAUUUGUGCUAAUUAACAUCAACAAGCACAUUUUUCUAGUAUCAUGUCCCUUCAUUAAUUCUUUUUAUAAAAGUGAGUUAAAUUAAUUGACGCCAGAUUUUCUUCUAAAUCUUUUGUGUCAAAUUUCGAUUUAUAUGAAAAUAAUCAGUAUUAUAAAAGUUUGCUGAUCUAGUAUUUUUCCACAACAUUUGCUGCUGAAUUUUUAACCACUAUUGACACCUAA
rnacentral:lncRNA from 1 species